UACGAAGGGGGCUAGCGUUGCUCGGAAUCACUGGGCGUAAAGCGCACGUAGGCGGCUUUCUAAGUCAGGGGUGAAAUCCUGGAGCUCAACUCCAGAACUGCCUUUGAUACUGAAGAUCUUGAGUUCGGGAGAGGUGAGUGGAAUUUCCUGUGUAGCGGUGAAAUGCGUAGAUAUAGGAAGGAAUACCAGUGGCGAAGGCGGCCUCCUGGAUCGAUACUGACGCUGAGGCGCGAAAGCGUGGGGAGCAAACAGG
rnacentral:rRNA from 1 species